rnacentral:rRNA from 1 species
CUUAGAAGCAGCCACACAUUCAAAGAGUGCGUAAUAGCUCACUAGUCGAGAGGUCCUGCGCCGAAAAUUUCCGGGGCUGAAACACGAUACCGAAGCUUAGGAAUGUAGCAAUACAUUGGUAGAGGAGCAAUCUCAGAGUGCCGAAGCGCUACCGCAAGGAAGCGUGGAGUUCUGAGAAGAGAGAAUGCCGGAAUGAGUAGCGAGAAUGAUGUGAGAAUCAUCAUGGCCGAAUAUCCAAGGAUUCCAGGGUAAAGCUGAUCUGCCCUGGGUAAGUCGGGACCUAAGGCGAGGGAGAGAUCCGUAGUCGAUGGACAGCAGGUUCAUAUUCCUGCACCUGACAUGAUCAGAACUGUGGGGACACAGGAACAAAACCGGACCCGGGAGAGCAAAGACCGGGCGAAGCGAAGCUAGGAGUGCGGUAGGCAAAUCCGCCGCACAAUCCGAAAGCGUGACAGGGAGCGAAAUAUAAGUAGCGAAGCCGGUGGAGGGACUGUCGAGAAAAGCCGCUAUUGUAUCAUGUCAGCCCGUACCGCAAACCGACACAGGUGGAUGAGGAGAGAAUCCUAAGGCCGGCGGGAGAAGCAUUGUUAAGGAACUCGGCAAAAUGACCCCGUAACUUCGGGAGAAGGGGUGCCAUCCUCCGGGAUGGCCACAGAAAAUAGGCUCAAGCAACUGUUUAGCAAAAACACAGGUCUAUGCGAAACCGAAAGGUGAGGUAUAUGGGCUGACGCCUGCCCGGUGCUGGAAGGUUAAGAGGAGAAGUCAGGCAACGAAGCUUUGAAUUGAAGCCCCAGUAAACGGCGGCCGUAACUAUAACGGUCCUAAGGUAGCGAAAUUCCUUGUCGGGUAAGUUCCGACCCGCACGAAAGGCGUAAUGAUUUGAGCACUGUCUCAACAAUGCACCCGGUGAAAUUGAAGUACCAGUGAAGAUGCUGGUUACCUGCGCCAGGACGGAAAGACCCCAUGGAGCUUUACUCUAGUUUGAUACUGGGAUUCGAUUAUACCUGUACAGGAUAGGUGGGAGGCGAAGAAGCAAGGACGCCAGUCUUUGCAGAGCCGCUGUUGGGAUACCACCCUUGUAUGAUUGGAUUUCUAACCUGCACCCGUGAUCCGGGUGGGGGACACUGUCAGAUGGGGAGUUUGACUGGGGCGGUCGCCUCCGAAAGGGUAUCGGAGGCGCUCAAAGGUUCCCUCAGAAUGGUCGGAAACCAUUCAAAGAGUGCAAAGGCAGAAGGGAGCUUGACUGCGACACCGACGGGUGGAGCAGGUACGAAAGUAGGACUUAGUGAUCCGGUGGUAUAAAGUGGGAUUGCCAUCGCUCAACGGAUAAAAGCUACCCUGGGGAUAACAGGCUUAUCACUCCCAAGAGUUCACAUCGACGGAGUGGUUUGGCACCUCGAUGUCGGCUCAUCGCAUCCUGGGGCUGAAGUCGGUCCCAAGGGUUGGGCUGUUCGCCCAUUAAAGCGGUACGCGAGCUGGGUUCAGAACGUCGUGAGACAGUUCGGUCCCUAUCCGGCGUGGGCGUAAGAUAUUUGAGAGGAGCUGUCCUUAGUACGAGAGGACCGGGAUGGACUGACCGCUGGUGCACCUGUUGGGGAGCAACCCCAUCGCAGGGUAGCCAAGUCGGGCCGGGAUAAACGCUGAAGGCAUCUAAGCGUGAAGCCCCCCUCAAGAUGAGAUAUCUCAUACGCAAGUAGUAAGACCCCUUGAAGACGACGAGGUAGAUAGGGCAGAGGUGUAAGUGUGGCAACAUACUUAGCUGACUGUUACUAAUCGGUCGAGGGUUUAACCAA